GACGAACGCUGGCGGCGCGCUUAACACAUGCAAGUCGAGCGAAGCGGCGGACGGGUGAGUAACACGUGAGUAACCUGCCUUAGACAUUGGGAUAGCCUCGGGAAACCGGGAUUAAUACCAAAUGGUCUAAGAUGGACUCGCGUCCCAUUAGCUAGUGGGUGAGGUAACGGCCCACCAAGGCGACGAUAGGUAGACGGCCUGAGAGGGUGAACGGACACAUUGGAGGUGGGAAACGGUCCAAACUCUACGGGAGGCAGCAGUGGUGAAUAUUGCACAAUGGAGGGAACUCUGAUGCAGCGACGCCGCGUGAACGAAGAAGGCUGUCGAGUCGUAGAGUUCUUUUAUAUAGGAAGCGGUACCAUAAGAAAAAGCCCCGGCUAACUACGUGCCAGCAGCCGCGGUAAUAC
rnacentral:rRNA from 1 species